GAAACUAUAAACAUCACUCUUCUCUGUAAAUUUGUUUGAAUGGAAAUAUUCAGGAUCUAAGUAUCCAAAAGUACCAUGUACACGAGUGCGAGAUGAGUUUGAUCAAUGGCAAUGGACCUUGAAGUUCCGAAAUCUGAUACUUUUGCUCUAUACUUCUCAUCCAAGAGAAUGUUGGUGGACUUACUAUCUGGGUGAUAAAUGGGUAUAGAUGCAGAUGAGUG
rnacentral:misc_RNA from 1 species